GGGUUAGUAGGUUGGUUAUGCCUCUGGUAUGUACUGGUCUCACUGAUUCCUCCUUCCUGAUGAACCUUAAUGCCAUCAAUUUGGUGUCUUGGGGAAUUUGGACUGUUACUUUGAAAAAAUUAGAGUGUUUAAAGCAAGCUAACGCUUGAAUACAUUAGCAUGUAAUAAUGAAAUAGGACGUUCGAUCCUAUUUUGUUGGUUUCUAGGAUUGACGUA
rnacentral:rRNA from 1 species